rnacentral:rRNA from 1 species
UACGUAGGGUGCGAGCGUUAAUCGGAAUUACUGGGCGUAAAGCGUGCGCAGGCGGCUUUGCAAGACAGAUGUGAAAUCCCCGGGCUCAACCUGGGAACUGCUUUCAAAACUGCUGAGCUAGAGUACGGUAGAGGGUGGUGGAAUUUCCUGUGUAGCGGUGAAAUGCGUAGAUAUAGGAAGGAACACCAGUGGCGAAGGCAAUCCCUGGGCCUGUACUGACGCUCAUGCACGAAAGCGUGGGGAGCAAACAGG